rnacentral:rRNA from 1 species
CCAAGGCUAAAUACUCCCUAGUGACCGAUAGUGAACCAGUACCGUGAGGGAAAGGUGAAAAGCACCCCGGAAGGGGAGUGAAAUAGAACCUGAAACCGUGUGCCUACAACAAGUCAAAGCCCGUUAAUGGGUGAUGGCGUGCCUUUUGUAGAAUGAACCGGCGAGUUACGAUUGCAUGCGAGGUUAAGUUGAAGAGACGGAGCCGCAGCGAAAGCGAGUCUGAAUAGGGCGUUUGAGUAUGUAGUCGUAGACCCGAAACCAUGUGAUCUACCCAUGUCCAGGUUGAAGGUGCGGUAAAACGCACUGGAGGACCGAACCCACGUACGUUGAAAAGUGCGGGGAUGAGGUGUGGGUAGCGGAGAAAUUCCAAACGAACUUGGAGAUAGCUGGUUCUCUCCGAAAUAGCUUUAGGGCUAGCCUCGGAAUUGAGAAUGAUGGAGGUAGAGCACUGUUUGGACUAGGGGCCCAUCUCGGGUUACCGAAUUCAGAUAAACUCCGAAUGCCAUUCAUUCAUAUCCGGGAGUCAGACUGUGAGUGAUAAGAUCCAUAGUCGAAAGGGAAACAGCCCAGACCACC